AACAGUAAGCAAGCUUCUUUGUGUCUUUGGUCAGCACUAGGACCUAAUACAGAGUAAAAUUCAGCCUUCGGAGCUCUGAACUCAAAGGACAGAAACUUCUCCAAAGCACAAGGAAGUCUACUCAGGAACUGCAAAUCUUCAUCAUGUGAGAUGUAGAUUAUCUUUUGUAAUAUCAAGAAAUGCACAAAUCCACAACACUGUCCAAAGACUUUACAAGUCCAACUUUACACCUUGCUUAAUCUUCAGGAAACAGGCAUCUAAUUGCUCCUUUGAAAGAGUAUUUGCAAUACAGCCUUCCCUGGAUAUAAAGCAUUACAGAGUACAUGAGUUGACAUCUGAAGUCUUUUCAUAUUGUUUAUUGGCAGAAGAACCUAUGAAUAUCCUCCCCAGGUCAGUUAAAAACAACCAGCUUGAAGAUGCUGAUGGUCAAUAAUGGAUAUGCAGGAGAGAACAUAAUGUCAGGGGAACAUUGAACAGCGAAAAUUUCAGGGCUUCCCUGUCCUUUUUUACAUGUGCAAUCACUUACUCCUCUACAAAACUCUAUCAGAAUAAAAUCCUUUGCUUCAUAAGCUUUUUAAAUAUAUUUACUUUUUGUAGAACACAAAAGGAAUUGACUAUAUCUUUUUGACAGGUGGGUCUAUGCACUUUUUUUCUUCAUAGUUUGUCAGAGUUGCUAUUUCUUAUAUCACAAUCAUUAUAAACAUAAUCUUAAAAACUUAAACAAGAUGAAUUUUGUCUUUUCCACCUUAAAAGAGAUCAUGUAAAUCUACCUUAAAGAAGUUCAGGGCAGGAACUGGUACAUCUGAAGCCUAGACAAAACAACAAAAAGUGAAUAUUUACUCUUCAGAUAUUUUAUAACAAGUAGGUAUUUUGUGAAUUUCCCAUUGUUAACCAUUAGAGCCUCUGCCUUGUUGUUAAGAAGAUGGCGUUAAUAAAAGAUUGUUUUUUAUUUUAAAUAAAGCUUCUGAAAAUUUUCAACUGACUGUGCCAGAGAAGUGUAGAAUGAAUUAAUCUUUCUAGAGAAUUUGAACUUUCUGAUUUACACAGUAUGCAAGGUUUUGACCAUAACAACAUUAAAAUUUUCCUGCUCCCUUAAAAAAACUCUGAUUUUUAAUUUAUUUUGCUAGAAGAUUAAACUAAGGAAUUUAAGUCCUUCCUGAGAUAUCUGAUGUCUUUAGAGACUUUUUAUUCAAUGGGAAUAUCACAGCACAGGAAACUGUCCAUAAAAAUCUAUUACAGGUCUGCUAAAAUAAUAAUCUAAUAGUCUGCUAAAAAAUGUAUGAGACCGAUCUGCCUCUCCAGACCUCAGAAUGGUCUCUUGUGAUAAUGUCUCCAAAUCUAAUUAAAGAAUCUGAGUAGAUCAAGGUUUAGACAUAAGAUGAUUCUUAACUUUAAAGGUCCUUCUGGUGCUUUGAAGCACCUUGGGAUUUAACCUUCCAGAUAUGUCACUGAUCUUUGACAUGGAGGGAAGAUAGUCAUCUGUCCUAGAAAAAAUAUUCUGGAGAACCAAUUCUCCAUAUUGACCUACAUAGCUAAAUCAGAGGGAAAAAAAAAAAAAAAAAAAGGACAGGAGUACUGAGUCAAUAAAAUAUGUACUUUUGUAUCUGGAUAUUCCUAUGCAGUGAGAUAUCAUUAUGACACUCUAAUAUAGUAUUUUCUUCCAUGUAAGAAAAUGUGUUUAAUUUCUAAAAGGGGAAUAGCAUUGAAAUGGAAACUCAUAUUAAAAAGA